rnacentral:tRNA from 1 species
GGAGAGGUGCUAGAGUGGUUGAAUAGGCCGGUCUCGAAAACCGGAGUACGGGCAACCGUACCGUGGGUUCGAAUCCCACCCUCUCCG